UCCACAGUCUGCCCCACGACCUCCCACAGUCCAUAGAAAGAGAAGGAGAAGAGCAGCUGUACAGCUUUUUCAAAUCAAAAAAGAAAAGGAGCUGAAAAUGUUUUCCGACACGGAACAAUGGCACAACAGAAUCAGGUUUCCAAAUGACCAUUUUAUGGUUUCUCUGUAUUUCAUCCUUGAGGCCCCCUUCAAAUUUAAUAAAUCCUCUUUAGAAUGACAUGCUGUCUUUGAGGAAGUGCUGGUGUAGAAUGUUGCUUGAGAACUCCAGCCCCAAGGGGUAAAUGAAAU